GUAGGUGAACCUGCGGUUGGAUCAUUACCAAUUUUCUUAUAUUCCUUUUCUCUCUCCACACUCUACUACUCUCGCAAGAUAGCAGCUUCGGUGUGCCCAUUUUCCUGACGCGCAGGUAGGUGCCAGGUAAGUACAAGCAAGUCAAGUUAGUAAUUCUUGAGUUUUGGGGUGUGCGAGAGAAAAAGAAAUAUAAUAAACACACUGUGAACUUGUAAUCGUUUUUUUGGUGGGUUUUCCUUGCACCCCAAGU
rnacentral:misc_RNA from 1 species